CCAGCACCCGCGGUAAUUCCAGCUCCAAUAGCGUAUAUUUAAGUUGUUGCAGUUAUAAAGCUCGUAGUUGGAUUUCGGAUGGGUUCCAGCGGUCCGCCUAUGGUGAGUACUGCUGUGGCCUAUCUUUCUGUCAGUGACGGGCUCCUGGGCUUCACUGUCUGGGACUCGGACCUGGCGUCGUCACUUUGAGUAAAUUAGAGUGUUCAAAGCAAGCUUACGCUCUGAAUACUUUAGCAUGGAAUGACAUGAUAGGACUCUGGCCUAUCUUGUUGGUCUGUAGGACCGGAGUAAUGAUUAAGAGGGACAGUCGGGGGCAUUCGUAUUUCAUUGUCAGAGGUGAAAUUCUUGGAUUUAUGAAAGACGAACUACUGCGAAAGCAUUUGCCAAGGAUGUUUUCAUUAAUCAAGAACGAAAGU
rnacentral:rRNA from 1 species